GACGAACGCUGGCGGCGUGCCUAAUACAUGCAAGUCGAGCGAAUCUGAGGGAGCUUGCUCCCAAAGAUUAGCGGCGGACGGGUGAGUAACACGUGGGCAACCUGCCUGUAAGACUGGGAUAACUCCGGGAAACCGGGGCUAAUACCGGAUAAUAUCUAUUUAUACAUAUAAUUAGAUUGAAAGAUGGUUCUGCUAUCACUUACAGAUGGGCCCGCGGCGCAUUAGCUAGUUGGUGAGGUAACGGCUCACCAAGGCGAAGAUGCGUAGCCGACCUGAGAGGGUGAUCGGCCACACUGGGACUGAGACACGGCCCAGACUCCUACGGGAGGCAGCAGUAGGGAAUCUUCCGCAAUGGACGAAAGUCUGACGGAGCAACGCCGCGUGAGUGAUGAAGGUUUUCGGAUCGUAAAACUCUGUUGUUAGGGAAGAACAAGUACCGGAGUAACUGCCGGUACCUUGACGGUACCUAACCAGAAAGCCACGGCUAACUACGUGCCAGCCGCCGCCGUAACAC
rnacentral:rRNA from 1 species